rnacentral:rRNA from 1 species
AGGACGAACGCUGGCGGCGUGCUUAACACAUGCAAGUCGAACGAUGAAGCCUUUCGGGGUGGAUUAGUGGCGAACGGGUGAGUAACACGUGGGCAAUCUGCCCUUCACUCUGGGACAAGCCCUGGAAACGGGGUCUAAUACCGGAUAAUACUCCUGCCUGCAUGGGUGGGGGUUAAAAGCUCCGGCGGUGAAGGAUGAGCCCGCGGCCUAUCAGCUUGUUGGUGAGGUAGUGGCUCACCAAGGCGACGACGGGUAGCCGG